CGGNUCUUGACAGUUAAGCAGAGAUAAGAAUUAUAAGAUCUCUAGUAGAGGAGUAAAAUCUAAAUACUAGAAGUUACACCGGAUAUAGUUUAUUUUAGGUGCUGAAUCUGUGACAACUUUAAGGGAAACUGGGAUUGGAUACCCCAUUAUUUUUAGUCGUAAACUUAGUUUGAACUUACCAGAGUACUACGAAUAAAAAGUUUAAAACUCAAAGGGCUUGGCGGUGUUUUAGACCUCUCAGGGGAACCUGUCUCAUAAUCGACAAUCCACGUUAAACCUGACCCUUUAUAGCAAUACAGUUUGUAUACCGUCGUCGCCAGGUAACUUCUAAAAAUACAGUAGUUAGCUUGAUAAUUAUAUUAAUUAAAACGUCAGAUCAAGGUGCAGCUAAUAAAAGGGGGAAGAUGGGUUACAAUUAUAUAUUUAUAAUUACGGAGAAAACUUGAAAUAAAGUGGCUAGAAGGAGGACUUGAAAGUAAUUUUGGCUAUAUAAGCGAAAUGAAUAAGGCUCUGAAACGUG
rnacentral:rRNA from 1 species